AGCUCAGUGGUCCAAUGGUAAAGCGCUCGUCUCGGAACCAGAGGGUCCUGGGUUCGGUUUCCAACAGGGUCA
rnacentral:tRNA from 1 species